AAACCGUUUAGGGGUAAACCUGAGAAACCCGAAAGAUCGAAUGAGGAGACUCAUCGCAAGCGGUANUGGCUUCCUUGUGGUUCGCGAUGUUUCGAGACGUCAUCCUCGUGGUGACUAUCGUUUGCACGCGGCCGCUUGGUAUGUCCGGUAACGUCGGCGUGCAUUUCUUCUCUAGUAGAACGUCGCGACCCGUUGGGUGUCGGUUUAAGGCCCGAUUCGUAGUCUGUUCCGUCGCUUCGGCGCACGUGUACAAACGUUUGGUGUCCCGAUCGACUGCCCGACGGUAAAAAAGAUGGUAUCGAGCCGCACUCGAAUGCGUUCAGACUCGUCGCAAGUCGGAUCACUGUUUCUCGGAGCACGGACCCAGUGCCGUUCCUGAGGGUGGUUGGCUGUUGGCGGACGAAGUUCUCGAACCGGCUUAGAACAUUGUCUCUUGAACGAUACCAGUCGGCGGCGCUAUUGCUUUGGGUACUUUCAGGA
rnacentral:rRNA from 1 species